GAUGAACGCUGGCGGCGUGCCUAAUACAUGCAAGUCGAGCGAAUGGAUUAAGAGCUUGCUCUUAUGAAGUUAGCGGCGGACGGGUGAGUAACACGUGGGUAACCUGCCCAUAAGACUGGGAUAACUCCGGGAAACCGGGGCUAAUACCGGAUAACAUUUUGAACCGCAUGGUUCGAAGUUGAAAGGCGGCUUCGGCUGUCACUUAUGGAUGGACCCGCGUCGCAUUAGCUAGUUGGUGAGGUAACGGCUCACCUAGGCAACGAUGCGUAGCCGAACUGAGAGGGUCAUCGGCCACCCUGGGACUGGAACACGGCCCAGACUCCUACGGGAGGCAGCAGUAGGGAAUCUUCCGCAAUGGACGAAAGUCUGACGGAGCAACGCCGCGUGAGUGAUGAAGGCUUUCGGGUCGUAAAACUCUGUUGUUAGGGAAGAACAAGUGCUAGUUGAAUAAGCUGGCACCUUGACGGUACCUAACCAGAAAGCCACGGCUAACUACGUGCCAGCAGCCGCCGUAA
rnacentral:rRNA from 1 species